rnacentral:lncRNA from 1 species
AUUUUCUUACUAACUGAUAUUUUCAUUAGUUUUUUUUUGUCAAUAAAUUUUUUUGGUAAUUUUGUUGAGUUAGAAGAAGAGGAGAAGAAGGGAAAGAGGAGAAGGAGGAAGAAAAUGAGGAGAAUGAAAAACAGGUAGAGGAGGAUUUGUGGUUGUAGCGGUGGCACGACAAAAUUUGUGUGGUGUCUAACACUCCUUUCAGGAUGCUAUGUGUUAUUAAUUAACUUAAGAAAAAUGACUUCUGAUACCAUCACAUAAUAAUGAAAAAUUAAAACUUUAUUCCAUUAUCGUGAAAAUAAUUAUGGAAAUAGUUAAUGUAUAAAUCUGAUUACGAAGGAUAGAAUUUAGGAAAACUUUUGUAUAUAUUUAGUUUAGGCUUAAAUACUUAUUUCGUCCCCAAGUUAGGAGCUGAAAUUCUGUUUUGUACCCGGUUUUACAAAUGAAGCUAUUUUUUCCUCAUAUUACGAAUUUUGGAAGAAUUCGAUCCCUUCCGUUAAAUAGGUAGAAACGACAUUAACUUCCGCUUACGUGGCUGCACUUUUCUUCUCUCUCCUCUACUCUCCCUGACACUUUUUUCUCUCUCUUUUCUAUUUCUCUCACCAUUUGCAUGCUUCUCAUUUCAAACUAUUAUACAACUUUCAACUUUUUCUCUUUCCAUGUCUUUUGGAACAACUAGCUUAUACCAGGGUUUCUUCUCGAAAUUUCCCUUCUCCAUGAUCCUUCACCAUAGUUACCAUCCAUCUUCUUUUUCUUCUACAAAAAAAUUUCAAUUCUUUGUGUUCGUUAAACUUUCCACCAUCC